rnacentral:rRNA from 1 species
UACAGGGGGUGCAAACGUUGCUCGGAAUUAUUGGGCGUAAAGAGCGUGUAGGCGGUCCGGUAAGUCGGCUGUGAAAGUCCAGGGCUCAACCCUGGGAUGCCGGUCGAUACUGCCGGACUAGAGUUCGGAAGAGGCGAGUGGAAUUCCCGGUGUAGCGGUGAAAUGCGUAGAUAUCGAGAGGAACACCUGCGGCGAAGGCGGGUUGCUGGGCUGACACUGACGCUGAGGCGCGAAAGCCAGGGGAGCGAACGGG